CUCGCACUAGGACUCCAUCCCACCGCUUGCCACCAAUGUAACGGAACCGCUGGCACCCCGACCGGGUACCUUCCGCCGACGGAUGCUCCUAGUGCUUUCCGAGGACUCCAAGCACUCUGCCUGACACCAUAACCACUGCAGACCCCACGAACCGCCGCAGCUUGGUUGGGAUCCCACCUCUACCACCAAUGUAACGGAUCACCUGGCACCCCGACUGGGUACCUCCAUUAAAGGAUGCUCCUAGCGCUUCCUGAGGACUCCAAGCACUGCAGCAGACACCACAACCACCGAACCGGAGAAGCAUAUGAAUCCUCUCAAGCAUAUGAAUGCUGUAGACAGUUGAAUAGGAACCAUACGAAUAGGUUUACUCUCCUAGCAGUCAAACUGGAACAGCAUACAAUGAAUCCUUCCCCCAAUAAUGAGACGACACUUCACUUUGAGGGUUAAAACAGGAGCUCUCUGUAAUGGCCACACACUGGCUUUUAUGCAAGUCCCCAUGCAAGGGGACAUCCCACAGGGUGGGACACAGUACAACCAAUCAUUACAGGGGAACCAUAAAACACACCCACAUUUACAUCACAAUCCC